AAACUUACCAGGUCAAGACAUGGGCGUGAUUGACAGGCUAAUGACUUUUCUCGAUUCCAUGGAUGGUGGUGCAUGGUCGCACUUAGUUGGUGCAGUGAUUUGUCAGGUUUAUUCCGGUAACGAACGAGACCUCGGCCUUGUAAAUAGCUAUGCUGCUUACAGGGACAUUGGCGGCUACGCCAAGGAAGCUCGAGGCAAUUGCAGAUCUGGAAUGCCCUUAGAUGUCCUGGGUCGCACGCGUGCUACAAUGACGCCACGAACGAGCUUGCGUGAUGAAAGUUACGCAUAAUCAGCAGUCGGCGUCUUAAGGGAUAGUCUCUUGUAACUGUGGGACUCCAACUAGGAAUGUCUCGUAAGCACAAGUCAACAUCUUGUGUUGAUUACGUCCCUGCUCUUUGUACACACCGCCCGUCGCUCCUACCGAUCGAGUGUUUAGGUGAAUUUGAUGGACGUAAGGAAGUCAAAUAAACCUGAGCACUAGAGGAAGGAGAAGUCUACUC
rnacentral:rRNA from 1 species